CAUAAAAACCGUGUUGAACCACCCGAGUUUCCAUCACACCUGAGAAUUUCUCCAACUUAACACUGUCAAGUCUCUCUGUUAUCACCUCGACGCUGCCAUCUCCAUCUCCAAACUGCCGCAAUUCAAACCCAGAAAAGAAAAGCCACGCUCCCAUCCCACCACCACCAUCUCCAAAUUCCGGCGAAAAGAUAACUCUGCAAAAGCCUCUGCACUAACAGAGGACUGUUCUACUAAAUCCUCUCCCAAAUUCCCAUGAAACAGAUGGCGAAGGCGAAGGCGAGUUCGAAGCCUUCACCUCCCUUUUAUUCUUCGCAUUCUCCAUGGUUUCUUCUUUGAACGCUCGAAUGUCUGCAAUGCAAGCGGUUUCUACAAGGAUUUGCAGCAAUCCCAUCAUCAUUUUCAGGUUGGCACCGCCGCGAUGCCUGAUUCAAGAAGUUGAGGUUCGAAAACGGUGCACUCGCUGAAUCAAUUUCAUCGAUUUUGUCUCCAAUCUUGUAAAUUUGUUUAUUUGUGAUUGAAUGAUUGGGUUGGGAAUCAUUAUCCUCUGCAAAUUUGUAAAUUUAUUUUAUCUAUUACAUUCGCACUCUUGUAAACCACGGAGAGGGCACUGGGAGUUGUUUCAACAGCCAGGUAACCGCCAUUGUUGUUGUUGGUGUUCCUGAUCCAAGGAGAGAGAGUGACGCUCGCUCGGGGAGCAUUCAUGUUUUGGACGCUUGGGAAAUUUUUUAUCUUUCUAAUUUAUUUACAAGGUGAAGGAGAUAACAACAAUUUAACACUGUUAAAUGGGUGCACAGAUUUCACAAAACUAUUAAAGCCAUGGAGAGGCUAGGGUGCAGAAAAUUUGAACUCAAAUGGUACAAAUACGUGGUAAGAGUAGCAUUUUUGCUUAUUAAACGAUUUCUUGUGUAUCCUACUUUUCCUUGCAAACGAGUGCUGUCUCGUGUCUGGCAUUCGCAAUGUCGCAUUUUGCCCCUAAGGAAAUCAAAAGCUCGCACAGCGUUGUGUGGCCUUCUCUUCCUGCUAACAUCAACGGAGUGUAUCCAUUGGCAUCAGAAGCACAUCAGAGCCCCUGCUUCUCAAUGUAUGAACAAAAUCUGUGGCGCUGUGUUGUACUGCCUGAUGGAGAGUCCCAUAAAACUCAACAGGACUAUCAAGUACCUUUUGAGGUUUAUGUCAGCCCCAGCGUUGAUAAGCAAUUUGAAACUUUCCAGGUAACCGCCCUCUGCAGAUAUCAUGGCAGCUGAGUAUCCCUUUUCAUCUUGCUCAUUGAGAUCAACGUCUGCCCCCUCAAUCAGUUUCUUCGAAGCCUCAACAUCAUUUGCUUGAGUCACAAGCACUAGAGGAGAAAAUAUUGAUGUAUGGCUGGAGUCACUAUUUUCUCUUUUAAGACAAGCGUGCAUAUGUUAUAUUGUCAUGAUCAAAUAGCUCAACAGAGUCAAGUUAUAUGAAUUUAUGGUAUCUACUCCCUCCUGGGUUCAAAGAUCUUUCGUUAUCCACUGGCCGACAACAUACAAGUUCAGAAAACUCCAGAAAGGGGUAAUGGAUGGUGGAAUCGUGAUGAUCUGUGCACUCUUGGCAAGGAGAGGACUUAAUAGAUCCUUGCGGCUUGAACCCAGGAGCAUGAGAUCAUUGCGGCUAUGCUAAAGUGUUGUUCCUUUUUAUUACAAGCGAGAGUUUGGAUCCGAGACACUGUUUGAAAAUUAAUUGGAAAGAGAGAGGGAUUGCUCUGUGGGUAAGCUUUGAGUGUUGAAUGCCAUUACCUUAUAUUUUUGUAAAUAUACAAAUAUUCUCCCCUUCUCCAUGCCACAAUACUACUCCCUUAAAUAAAAGUAAAAGAUACGGUAGAUUGAUGAGAUUAGUGACACACAUUCUUUUUUCUUCUCUCUCUCUCAUUGGUCCUCAAUUGAGGAUUUUUGGUAUUGUUAUAUAUAAAAGUACUGAAUAAGCUCAUUUCUUUUCUUUACGAGCACGAAGUCGUUUCCUAGCUGCCUGUAUUAUACUCUCACGAUCAUCAGGAACUGCUGCAACAUCCACUUUCUUUGGCAAAUCAGAAAGAUUUCCCUCCAGCUGCUCUUCAAUAUGACCGAUCCUGCCACUGCAUAAAAGGUUAAAGGUUCAAUCUCUGCAAUGUUCAUAUACUACCUUGAAUUAGAAACAAAUCAUUUUCUACUUAUAAUGGUAGUUCUAUGCAAACUGGCUUCACCUCAGCUUCUUGAUAUCUAGAUUAUUUACUUUGUCCAAAAUGGGUGUGACCCAAGCAAUAUUUACAGCACAUACAAUGCGCAGGAAUGGGCGGGUUGUUGAAUGAGUUCAGGUACACAACAUAGUCACUUCAUCAUCUGGUUUAUGCAAAGAGGAUGGAUGCACCGGAAAUAAAAGUAUUUGUGAGUGUCAAUUCUAGACUUGCAAAAGACUCACUACUCAAACCUUUGCCUAAUUCUAGUGAGAUAUGCCUAGCCACGAUCAAUUUCCAGCUCAAAGUUUCUCGUUUUCCUUUCCCAGUUUAAGUAACUUAAGUGGUCGAUCGGUGCUUUGAUAAACCAGAAAUGCAUAAUGAUAAUCUCAAUCCAAUUUUGUUCCAUAAAUCACGUACUUUGAGCAUGUUACUUAUUCAGCACUUAUCAGUAUCAGUAGGCUGCAGUAGACCAUUAUAUAUAAGAGCUUCAUGUUAUCAAGUAACAUUCAGGAGAAUAGUCAUUUAGUCAGUUCAUAGCGGUGUUUCGUGAACAUGAUAUAAUUGCAAGCUCUUUAAUAAUGUAGCUUACUCGCCUUUUGCUAUUUUCUGCAUGAUUUUAGAUAGCUGUUUUCUCACAUAACAAGCAAAUACUAGAAUCAUGUCGCCAAUGCCCUGAAUAUAUCAGGUUUUUCUUAUACAGAAUAUAAAAAAGGUGCCUACAACUGAUAAUCCUUGCACCAAUCAAUGUCAUAGUCAGUUUGAUGCCAGCACUCAUAUAUCUGUAGCAACUGGAUAUGAUCACCCCAGCCAGAACCAUCAGGAAGGUCCAAAUAUUCAUGCUUCCUCCUCUUCUCCCUACUUUUUCUACAGAAGGAGGCAUGCUCAACGAUAAUCAUCUCAAACUAAAUAUUCAUACUUCAAGGGCCUCGUGGAAAGUGCAGAGGUCCACAAAUAUCUUUCUAAUGUUUAGAGGUACGCAACUUAAACCAUAUAUAUGUGUGGUAAUGUAUGUGUGCAGAUGCGUGCGCAUUUAGUUCGACCUAUGAUAUUUGAGUACUUUUCAGAUUCUCAGAACACAACGCAUGCUAUUAACUUUCACAACAUACAUAUAGGAACCUUCUUCUGGGAAAAAUUUAACGAGCUUACCUUCGACCAGGAAGCAAUGUGGUUUCUGUUAGGAUAUAGCUAUGCCAUGUGUCAUAAUUGUAUUGGAGGUUGUGAAUGUUAGUCAUAAGGUGUGUUGUAUUUAUAAGAGAUUAGUUUUGUCAUAAACAUAAGGAAAUAUAACAAGAUUAUUUUUCCCUCUCUACUUUCUCUCUCUAUCUCUCUGUUCGAUAUCUUCUUCUCUAAGUUUCUUCCAUAUAAUUGGUUUGUUAACAUGGUAUCAUCGCCGGCAAUGGCUAACGCCGUCGCCUGACGAUCCCGGUGCUUCCGCGUCUCUUCGUUUUUGCUCCGGUGGUUUUCACUUGUUCGCCGGAAGUUGAUUGGUCGUUUUUUGGGCCUGUUCGUGGACUCUGGUGAAUCUUGGUUACUGAAACCCUAGAAUUUUGGUGUUUUCUUAACUGGGUUAGUAGAAGUCGGUUGUUCUUCUUGCAGUCGUUGUUGUUGUUGAUCGUUGUCUUGGCUGGAGGUAUUGGUCGAAUUUCUUACCUUCUUGUUCAGAUUCGUGUGGUGAUUUUGUUGAACUUCUUGUUGCUAUUCUGUUGAAUUGUGUGGUAUUCUCUUCAAAAUUGAAUUGGGUUGGAGAUUUCUGUUAAUUGUUGGUUCUUGAUUACUUCUGAUUGACGCACGAAUCGUUGUGUGGUGAUUAAGCAGUUUUUGAUUACGUGAUUAACCAGUUCUUGAUUACUUUUAUUUUCUAUAAAGAUUGUUGUUUCUUGAUUAAGCAUGGUGACCACAGCCCAAUUAGCUCUUACACAGUCUCCUAUUUCUUCCCUAAUACCAAGUGUUGGUAAUACUGUCACAGUCAAGUUAAAUGAUUCUAACUAUAUCACAUGAAAUUUUCAACUUGAAUUACUGUUAAAAGGUAAUGGUAUUAUGGGAUUUCUUGAUGGCUAUAUCUCCUGUCCUGAGAAAUAUACUGCUACUGAAGAUGGCAUUGUGAUUAAUUGCUCUAUCAUAAAUGAUGCCUAUAAAGUUUGGAAGAUUCAUGAUAAAGCUUUGAUGACUCUUAUCACUACUACCUUGUCUCCUGCUGCCCUAUCGAGUGUCAUUAGGUGUCAAAGCUCCAAGGAAAUGUGGAUUAACUUGAAAGAGAGGUUCUCGAGUAUGACUAGAACAAGUAUUGUCCAGAUGAAAAUUGAUCUGCAGACUAUUAAGAAAAGGGCUGAAUCUAUUAAUCUUAAUCUUCAACGCAUCACAGACUGUAGAGACCAGUUAGCUGCAGUGGGUGUUGUUAUGCCUGAUGAAGAUAUUGUCAUAGUUGCUCUCAAAGGCUUACCAACUGAAUACAACACUAUUAAGGCUGUUAUUCGAGGAAGAGAAAAUCUUGUGUCACUGAAAGAGCUGAGGUCUCAGUUGAAGGCAGAAGAAGCAACCCUUGAAGAAAGUCUUAAACAACCUCUAAUGGCCGCAAUGUAUGCUAAUAGUUCCGGUUCCAUACAUGAGUUUGGAGGGUCAUCUGGUACCAAUCUAGUUCGGGCAACUAUGAUACUGGCUCAUCAUUAUAUCAUGUACCUCAAAUGACCUCAUUUCCUUAAAUGCCACAACUAGCUCAAAUGCCUACCAUGAGUUAUAUGUCUAACAUGGCUCCGGUGAAUCAACUACCUUAACUUCCACAGUUUCAGCCAUUCUCUCUUCAAGCUCCACAUGGUCCUUAUGCAUUUGUGUCUCAAGCAGGAUCUGGCACUUAUAAUAAUUUCAGGGGGCAAAAUUUCAAGUACAAAGGAAAAGGGAAGAAAUUUCACUCAGGUUAUCAGGGGUAUGUUCAAACUAAUGUUCAGUCUCAACCACAAUCUAGUUUUCAAACUACACAACCUUAUAAUCCUAUGUUGAUCUGUCAAAUUUGUGAUAAAAAGGGACACUCUGCACUCCAUUGUUUUCAGCGUGGAUGCCAAACCUGCAAUAGGGUUGGUCACACUGCAGCUAUAUGUUUCGACAUGGGUACUUCUUUUAUGCCCAUGUCUCAGCCUAUGUAUUAGUCUCAACAGUUUCAAGCUUCUGCUUCUGUUCAACAAUAUCAAUCUCCACAGUUUCAGGCUCCUGCUCCAGUUCAACAAAUGCAUCCAUCGUAUGUGCAGCAUCAGAACAUGUCACAACAAGCUACAUCUCCUGUUGCUUUCACUGCAAGAACCAACUUCUCACCUUUUGCACCUCCGCAAGAGUAUUGGCUGCUUGAUUCUGGUGCUACCAAUCACAUGACCUCUGAUCUGUCCUGUCUACAAGCUCUUACCCCAUAUCCAUCCACUGAAACUGUAACUGGGGCUAAUGGACAAGGUCACCAACAAGGUUCUCUUUCAAGGACUGAGUAACAAUGCUGUUUACCUAUUUCCUUUGCUCAAACAACCACAGAUCAAACCUGCUGCUUAUCUUGGCCAGAAAGUUAAUACUACACUGUGGCAUUGUAGAUUGGGUCAUCCAACCAAUUAUGUAGUUAGUAAGGCCGAUAUUUCUUUUCAUUGUCAUUCUGUUCCUCAAACAUGUACCUCUUGCUUACAAGGCAAGUUUACCAAAUUACCAUUCCCAUUAGCAUCAUCUAAGUCCAAUGUACCAUUUGAAGUCAUUCACACAGAUGUGUGAGGACCUGCACCUAUCAUGUCUAUAGAGGGUUAUAUGUACUAUGUGUCUUUUAUCGAUGAAUGUACAAGAUAUACAUGGAUUUUUCCAAUGAUGAAUAAAGCUGCAGUUUGUGAAAUCU